rnacentral:lncRNA from 1 species
UUGGCCACGACCCGGCCCGUUUUGGAUCAUCUCCGCGAUUUUCCAACCCUCGAUCGAACCCUCUUCACGCAUCUCACCUCUGCGCCGUUACGAUCUCUCUCUCUCUCUCUCUCUCUCUCUCUCUCUCGUAAGUAGGCUAAUUUUCCUUUUUGUUUUUUUUUUUUUAAUUCCCACUUCAAACUUCGAUCAAUCCUUUUUUUUUUUGAAGUUUCCUCUGUUCGUCAAAUUAAUUUUGCUAUUAUGUUAUUGCAGCGCUUCUCGUCGGAUGAACCCGUGCAUAUGAAGUGUUUGAUGAAAUGCCUCUACGAACAAUAGUAAAAAUUCCUGCUGUAAUCGAUCACAAACGCUUUAACUGCAAUUGAGUAUAAGUAUGUCGAA